CCUACGGGAGGCAGCAGUGGGGGAUAUUGCACAAUGGGGGAAACCCUGGUGGUGCGACGCCGCGUGGGGGAAUGAAGGUCUUCGGAUUGUAAACCCCUGUCAUGUGGGAGCAAAUUAAAAAGAUAGUACCACAAGAGGAAGAGACGGCUAACUCUGUGCCAGCAGCCGCGGUAAUACAGAGGUCUCAAGCGUUGUUCGGAAUCACUGGGCGUAAAGCGUGCGUAGGCUGUUUCGUAAGUCGUGUGUGAAAGGCGCGGGCUCAACCCGCGGACGGCACAUGAUACUGCGAGACUAGAGUAAUGGAGGGGGAACCGGAAUUCUCGGUGUAGCAGUGAAAUGCGUAGAUAUCGAGAGGAACACUCGUGGCGAAGGCGGGUUCCUGGACAUUAACUGACGCUGAGGCACGAAGGCCAGGGGAGCGAAAGGGAUUAGAUACCCCGGUAGUC
rnacentral:rRNA from 1 species